CGUCGCCUCGAGCCGCUCGUGCUGGCCUAUCGUCGCUGUCGCCCGGCCUGGCGGCGUGGCUCCGCUGUCCCGGCCGCCCGUGGUGCUCGCGCUGCUACUACACAGCGCUGAGGCCGAGGCCCCACCCCCGAUAGCGCUCGCCUCUCUGCCGCCCCUGUCUCCUGCGCCUCUACCCUCCUCGCCGCCUCUAUCCCUCUGAGACCACAGAUCCGUCCGGUGAGAGGAACCGCCCACUGCCAUGUCGUCCGCUGAGCUCGCCAGCACCUACGUCGCCCUCAUCCCCAGGCCCCCGAGCACGAGAGCCACAGAAUCAUGAAUCACCAAUAUCAUGAAUCAGCAGUUGGUACUUGAGCUCUCAAUUCUCUAGGCAUAAAAAGCUGUAGGAUCUGAUCUUGUUGCUUCCGUUUCUACGUCAAGGCAGUGCUGCUGGCAGAGCCUUUGCCUCCCCCACGGCACCGCUGGAACUGUUGCCAGUGCAAGAGCCCAUGCUGCCAUAAGCUCCCGUGGCUACGGAUGUUGGGGGUGUUUGGAUCCGGAGGGCUGAAAAAAGUCCUUUCAAUAUUGGUAUUUUGGAGUAUUAAAUAUAGAUUACUGAUAAAAUAUAUUUUAUAAUUCCUGUGCUAUUUUGCGAAGACGAAUUUAAUGAGCCUAAUUAAUUCAUAAUUUACUACAAUGAUGUUACAAUAAUUUUCUGCUAAUUAUAGAUUAAUAUAUCUUAUUAAAUUCGUCUCGCAAAAUAGUCUAGAAGUUAUGAAAGCAGUUUUGUACAUAUAUUUUAUUAAAUACUUCUAAAAAGUAAGAUUCUAUAAAACUAUUUUUUAGCCCAUGAUGCCGGCGCCCGAAGACCAUAAAUGGUUUCUUUUUUAUCUAGAAAUCCAAAAUUACGUCAUUUUAAAAGCAAGGAAUAUAAAGUUUGGUACUGUGUCAUAUGUAUUCUAUAAAAUAUGUAUUUAGUAUCUUUUUCAAAUACGUGCGGCGGCACGCACACUUUGCUAGUUAGGCUUAAAAGAUU